UUACAAAACAACACCCUCUGGAGGCGCGCGUGGUCUUGUCCUUGAUGAUGUUGACUUCGUCGACCAAAGCGAACUCUUUGAACAUUGCGAGAAGCUGAGCUUCGGUCAUGUGCUUGGGCACUUGACCUACAAACAGCUUAACGCACUCUUCGCUCGAUUUAUUUUCCUCUUUACCCUCCGCCAUUAAUGCCUAUAGACCACAGA
rnacentral:misc_RNA from 1 species